rnacentral:rRNA from 1 species
GAUGAACGCUGACAGAAUGCUCAACACAUGCAAGUCGACUCGAGUCUUCGGACUUGGGUGGCGCACGGGUGAGUAACGCGUAAAGAACUUGCCUCUUAGGCCGGGACAACAUCUGGAAACGGAUGCUAAUACCGGAUAUUAUGGUUUUUUCGCAUGGGGGAAUCAUGAAAGCUAGAUGCGCUAAGAGAGAGCUUUGCGUCCCAUUAGCUGGUUGGUGAGGUAACGGCCCACCAAGGCAAUGAUGGGUAGCCGGCCUGAGAGGGUGAACGGCCACAAGGGGACUGAGACACGGCCCUUACUCCUACGGGAGGCAGCAGUGGGGAAUAUUGGACAAUGGACCGCAAGUCUGAUCCAGCAAUUCUGUGUGCACGAUGACGUUUUUCGGAAUGUAAAGUGCUUUCAGUCGGGAAGAAGUCAGUGACGGUACCGACAGAAGAAGCGACGGCUAAAUACGUGCCAGCAGCCGCGGUAAUACGUAUGUCGCAAGCGUUAUCGGGAUUUAUUGGGCGUAAAGCGCGUCUAGGCGGCAAGGAAAGUCUGAUGUGAAAAUGCGGAGCUCAACUCCGUAUGGCGUUGGAAACUGCCUUACUAGAGUACUGGAGAGGUAGGCGGAACUACAAGUGUAGAGGUGAAAUUCGUAUAUAUUUGUAGGAAUGCCGAUGGGGAAUCCAGCCUACUGGACAGAUACUGACGCUAAAUCGCGAAAGCGUGGGUAUCAAACUGGAUUAUAUACCCUGGUAGUCCAAGGGCUAAUUCCACAGUGGAUAUCAUGUUUAUUGAUACUGUCGACCUCGAGGGGGGGAUAAAAAAACCCAGCUAUUGUUUCCUUUAUUAGUGUUAAUUAAAGUGUUAUGGUGUGAUAACCUUCAAUAAAUAACAUAUUGUGUAUCUACAUGAAUUGAUUUGCACAUUGUAUGAUAUUUUCUUUUAAUAUUAUAGUGUGUUCUUCUGCCUGUGUGUGCUGUGUGUAUUCUUGUUCAUGUGUGUUGUAUCCUACCUCAUGCUUUUCUGCCUUGCAUCUGCCAUUGGUAUAUUGUUUGUUGCCUGCUUAAUUGUGUGCUUGCUUGCUUUGUGACUUGCAUACUGUUACUCUACCUGCCAAG